UGGCUGCUAGCGCACUGGCUUCUCAACUCGUGGGCUCGUGGGCCGGGCGCGUGGGCCGGACGUUACACCCUGUGCACCUCGCGGACCUCCUGGCCGACUUGCUGCCUCAGAGUCAAGGUUUUCAAGAGUGCAGUGCUACUUGUGCCAGAGGGUCUCAUGCAGGCUGGCACUGAACUCCCUCUCUGGUCAAGGAUGGCUGAGAACUUUCUGAGGAUGAUCUUGAACUUCCUGAUUGUCCAGGGCUUCAUGCGUGCUAGGGUUUCAUGUAGCCCAAGUUGGCCUCAAAAUCC